rnacentral:piRNA from 1 species
CAGCACCUUAAUGCUGUAGUUCCUCUUGGC